ensembl:lncRNA
CUUCAGUCCACAAAGAGAGGAGGAAGGGAGGGGAGGAGCUGAGAUCGGCAGUUAAGUACAGUGUAAGAGGUGUAGGUAUGAGCUGGAAGGCUGUGCCUGGGGUUCAGAUGCGAGCCUGUGCUUCUCAGGAGAAUUGCUGAUGGAUGCCCCUGACUGGGUUGGGAGAAGCUGGGCAGGAGUAGAGGGAAAGAACUGAUGCGACCCAGGUGGUUACAGGAAGGAGGUAAAGGAAGCUAGAAGGUUAAGGGGGGCGGAGUCACUUUCUAUGAGCAACAAAGGGAAAUCUGGGAGUGCAGGAACCUGGAAGGUCAUGUGGUAUAGAAAGGGAAGAGAGACAACUCUGAAAACUGUAAAACAAGCUGCCGCUGUGGUCUGAAUCAAGUCCUUUAGAAGCUCGCUGAGAAAUCUUCUCUUCCUUCCCAAGUCUCCUUCAAUCCCAUAGAGAACCAACACAAGAGGGAAAGAGGAAGAGUCGGAGCAGAGUCUCUUCCUAAAAGCCACCAUCUGUGGGCGUGAGUGUCUUUGGUCCACGGAUUUCUCCUAAGACCCAUGAUGAUUUUGAUGAGAGAGUAUUGAUUUUAUGGUUCAUUGGGGCCUUGGACAUCCAUCAAUGGGGAACUGUGCAGCUGUGAUGAGAAAUGUGUCUAUUGCUGCUUUCUCUGUAGACUCCGCAGGAUGCAUUGUUACCUGAAAAAAACAAGAUGGAGGAAAGUAUAUAAUAUGCUACCAUUUAUCCACAAGAGGUGGCAGGGAUAUGAAUAUGUAUUUGCUUAUAUUUAAAAUCACGACAACAAAGCAAGAGCAUAAUAAAAAAAUGGAAAAAAUUUUAAAAAUUGGUCACCUAUAUUGGGAACAGGGUGGAGGAAACAUUGAUAAAACUACACUUUUUGACUACACAGAGAGGAAUUAUUUCAAGUGACUUUAAAAAACAGUAAUUUAACAUAUAAGCUUAGUGGGAUAUACCCUAAGAAUAAAAAGAACUGCAAACAUGCCUUAAGCUGCAUUCAGUUAUCAUGCUGCUUGUAAUAAUAUUAGCACCACUGUUCUGAAACUAUGGUAUGUAGUAUAGUAUAUGGCCAAUAUGUAAUUAUGCUUAUAUUAUUAAGAACCUAGAUGUUAGUAUGAGAAAAAGACAUAAAACCAAAGAAAUACAAAUCCUAUAAUCCUAAACUUAAAUAGAAAACAUCAGUAUGAGCUCAUGAUAUAUUUCUCAUAAGAACAAAACAAAACAAAAUUAAAAACCUUGUUUCCUUUCCCAGCUCUGCCCACCAAUGAGGGCUAGAAACGCUGCCCAGCCCGGUAGCAAUGACUCUCGUAGCACCAGACUGUCGUCUCUUAUACUAUGUCCCGCUAAAAGGAAGCUGCAUUCACACACAGCUAAUUUCAAGACUGGAGCAGGGAAAGUUCAAGAAGGUCCUGGGAUGUACUACCAUACAAUAAAGCAAGAAGUUUUCAGUGACCACCAAAACAGCAGCAAGAAGGAUUCAGAAGCCGAUUUGAGUGAUCAAGUCUACACAGUACUGCCCAUUAGAGAGGGAGAGAGCAGGAGAGCAGGGGACAGCAGACUUAUUAAAAGACACCACGUGGAUGCAAUCAGCAAACUGCAGAAUGUUGGAAAUUCUACCGGACAAAGUGACUCAGUUUCUUCACCAUAUCGAUGGCAAGGAGGGAAAAGAGGGAGGAUGUGCAGCUGAUGCUGUCGGUGCCCACUCGUAUCUUUUGUGUCUGUCACUGUGCUCAACCUGACUUCCAGUGAUCAGUAGCUGCCUCUGUGCCAAAAACCUUUUUCCCCCUGAACCGUGGAAGGCUGCUCUGCCCACUUUUGGAAAGAACUGACCCCAGAAGCAGCCCUCAGUCAAUGACUAAAUAAAGUGGAUGAAGAACCAUGCCAACCCCUUCAACUCUCAGGGGAUAAUCUUGAGGGGUGUGUGUGUGUGUUUAUACCUUUUCCACAAAUUUCCCCGCAGGAUUAAGCUUCAGCCCCACAUUGGUAAAUGGUUUAAUAGUGCUCCCUUGGCUGGUCUUUCUCUUCCCUGUAUCAUUUUCUUUCUCCCUAUGGUGUCCCUUGCACUUCCCAAAUAAAUACAUAUAUUGAAUCCUUGUCUUAGGGUCUACUUCUGGAGGAAGGAACUCAAACUCAGGCAGAGGGAGAACCAUAGAUUUUAAAAGAGACUUAAGAGGCAUGUCAACCAAUUGCGCAGUAUGGACCUUGUUAGAUCCUGAAUCAAAGAAAUUGUUUAAAGAACUUAGGAGACAAUCAGGGAAAUAUAAACACUGAAUAUUUAAUGUUACUUAAGAAUUUAUUUUUUAGGUGGCAUAAUGCUGUCAUGCUGGUGUUUAAAAUCAAGAGAAAAUAAUGAAUAUUUACAGAUAAAAUGUUACAAUAUCUGAGAUUUGAUUUCAAAUAAUGUGGGGUGCAGUUGUGGUUGGGCAUAUGACACAAGAUUGGUGAUGAGUUGAUAAUUAUUAAAACUGGGUGGUGGGUAUGUGAGGGCUCAUUAUACUAUUCUGUCUACUGUUGUAUAUGUCGGAAAUUUUCCCUAAUUAAAUACCAAAAAGAAGAUCUGAAAACUCCCUGGG